UGUAGUGGUAACACAUUAGCCUUCCAAGCUAAGAUCAAGGGUUCGAGUCCCUUUACCC
rnacentral:ncRNA from 15 species